rnacentral:rRNA from 1 species
UACGUAGGGUGCAAGCGUUGUCCGGAAUUAUUGGGCGUAAAGAGCUCGUAGGCGGUUUGUCGCGUCUGCUGUGAAAACCCGAGGCUCAACCUCGGGCCUGCAGUGGGUACGGGCAGACUAGAGUGUUGCAGGGGAGACUGGAAUUCCUGGUGUAGCGGUGAAAUGCGCAGAUAUCAGGAGGAACACCGGUGGCGAAGGCGGGUCUCUGGGCAACAACUGACGCUGGAGGAGCGAAAGCCGUGGGGAGCGAACAGG